rnacentral:rRNA from 1 species
AUUGAACGCUGGCGGCAGGCCUAACACAUGCAAGUCGAGCGAAAGGAGAGCGGGUGAGUAAUGUAUGGGGACUGCCCGUUAGCGGGGGAUCACUACUGGAAACGGUUGCUAAUACCGCAUUAUAUCUGAUAACCCAGAUGGGAUUAGCUAGUAGGGGGGGUAAUGGCUCACCUAGGCGACUAACCCUAGCCGGUCUGAGAGGAUGAUCAGCCACACGGGGACUGAGACACGGCCCAGACUCCUACGGAGGCAGCAGUAGGGAAUAUUGGGCAAUGGGCGCAAGCCUGAUGCAGCAAUGCCGCGUGUAUGAAGAAGGCUUUAGGAUUGUAAAGUACUGUCAGUCGGGAGGCGUUACCUACACAAGAAGCACCGGCUAACUCCGUGCCAGCAGCCGCGGUAAUUC